CCUUAGGGACUUAUCAGAGAUGCUUUGGUGCCUUCGGGACUAUGAGACAGGUGCUGCAUGGCUGUCGUCAGCUCGUGUUGUGAAAUGUUGGGUUAAGUCCCGCAACGAGCGCAACCCUUAUCCUUGUUUGCCAGCGAGUAAUGUCGGGAACUCCAGGGAGACUGCCGGUGAUAAACCGGAGGAAGGUGGGGACGACGUCAAGUCAUCAUGGCCCUUACGAGUAGGGCUACACACGUGCUACAAUGGCGUAUACAGAGGGCUGCCAACCAGCGAUGGUGAGCGAAUCCCAAAAAGUACGUCGUAGUCCGGAUUGGAGUCUGCAACUCGACUCCAUGAAGUCGGAAUCGCUAGUAAUCGUGGAUCAAAAUGCCACGGUGAAUACGUUCCCGGGUCUUGUACACACCGA
rnacentral:rRNA from 1 species